rnacentral:tmRNA from 1 species
GGGGGUGAAAUUGGUUUCGACGGGAUUAUUUGUUCUUUGAAUUGCAUGCCGUGUUCGCCGAAGACACGUAAAACGUCGGUAAAAAAAUAGUUGACAACAACUACGCAUUAGCUGCGUAAAUUAAACGCAGCCGUUCUCCUUUCCUUUUCAUACCGAGGGAAGACAGAACGCCGCAAAGGUAUGAUAGCCAAUCCGAGCUUCCGGGUAGGAGCGGCGAAACUUUUUACCGGAAUAGUCUUAACGGAUUCUGUCUGCCGAAGCCGUAAAGAUGAAACUCAAAGACAGACUAUGCAUGUAGAAAUUCACUGAAAAAUAUUUUCGGACGCGGGUUCGACUCCCGCCACCUCCACUC